UACGUAGGGUGCAAGCGUUAAUCGGAAUUACUGGGCGUAAAGCGUGCGCAGGCGGUUUUGUAAGUCUGCGUGAAAUCCCCCGGGCUCAACCUGGGAAUUGCGAUGGAGACUGCAAGGCUAGAAUCUGGCAGAGGGGGGUAGAAUUCCACGUGUAGCAGUGAAAUGCGUAGAGAUGUGGAGGAACACCAGUGGCGAAGGCGGCUCACUGGACCGGAACUGACGCUGAGGCGCGAAAGCGUGGGGAGCAAACGGG
rnacentral:rRNA from 1 species